GCUACACUUGAUAAUGCUUCUUUUUUGUUGUUGUUUUUUGUUUUUAUUUAGGGCCGCACUGGCGGCAUAUGGAGGUUCCCAGGCCAGGAGUCCAAUUGGAGCUGUAGCCAAUGGCCUAUGCCACAGCCGCCGCCACAGCAACAUGAGCACUGAGCUGUGUCUUCGACCUACACCACAGCGCACGGCAAUGCCAAUCCUUAACCCAUUGAGUAGGGCCAGGGAUUGAACCUGCAUCCUCAUGGAUACAGUUGGGUUCAUUACCGCUAAGCCACAACAGUAAUUUCAAAAAUACUUCCUUAAAAAAAAUUUUUUUUUAUUUCUUGAUAAUUUGCUUCUUGAUUAAUUGAUUGAAGUAUAGUUGAUUUUCAAUGCUGUCUUAAUUUCUGCUGUACAGAAAAGUGAUUCAUGCUUUUAAAAACAUUCUUUUCCAUUACGAUUUAUCAUAGGACAUCAAAUAUAGUUCUCUGUGAUAUGCAGUAGAACCUUGUUAUUUAUCCAUUCUAUACAUAAGAGCUUACAUCUGCUAACCCCAACCUCCCACUCUAUCCCUUCCCCAACUCCUUCCCCUUAGGCAACCACAUGUCUGUUCUCCUUAUCCGUGAGUAUAGAUAAUAGCGCUCUUUAAAUGAUUUUUUAAUGGCCAUGACCACAGCAUAUGAAAGUUCUCCGGCCAGGGACUGAAGCUGAGUCUCAGCUGUGACUUACGCCACAGCUGCUGCAACAUCAGAUCCUUUAACCCAGUGCAUGGUGCUGGGAAUCAAACUCUCGCCUCUACAGCCACCACCACAGCUGCUGCAGUUGAAUUCUUAACUCACUGUGACACAGCAGGAACUCCUAAAUGAAUUUUUUAUAUUUGUCCUAUUUUAAGUAAAACACUAGAGUAACACUGGCAGGCAGAUAUGUUAUAAAAAUCCAAAAAUGAGAGAAAGAUGGUAAAUCUUGCCUCCUCCUUGUGCAGAUUUGCAGUAGGUUCCAGAGAGAUGUCCGUUCAUACAGACUGCAUAAUCACCUUUAAAGUAUCUAUUCAGGAGUAUUUUUCUUAAUGUGUUACCCUAAUAAAAAGGAUAAGAAAAAUGUUAGUUAUCAUUUCUUUUUCUAGUAAAAGAAAAAAACUAAUACAUUAAAGUGCCACCCAAAAUGCAUUUUAUCAACAACAUUGAGACACUGAAAAACUAAUUUUAUACUGAAAAAUAUUUUCUGAUGCAAAAAUUUGCAAAUAUUUCCCAUGAAAAUAAUAUUUUUUCUUCUCCCAGAAAUAAAGAAUAAAAUACAGUAUUUUCAAUAGAAUGUACUAGGAAAAUCACAAACACUAUAAAUUCAAAAUUUCUUCAAAAAAAAAAAGCUGAGGGUUCCAAUGUUGGUAAGGGUAAUUAUAGUGCCUAAAGAAAACACAGAUUAAUAAAUCCCUAAAAACUAGAAAGUAAAAGCCUUAGUUAGAGGGGCUCACUGAAAAGAGCUAGAAAAGUGCUAGGGAUACAGCAAGUGCUCAAAAAAUUAAACUUGAUCAGAGAGAAUUAUAUUUAAACUCCAAGAGCUUUAUUCAGAAGACAGUGGGUAAAAGAUAGUGUAUAAAACAUGUAAUUCAAAAAUUCCUGUCUUUCAAUUUUAUAUUGAUUACAAGCCAUUUUUAAAAUAAUACAUUUUACAAUAUAGUCAGUUGUUUAUACACAGAAAUAUAGUUAAUUCCAAAUCUUCCAUUUUAUUCGUUAUGAUUUUAAUAGACAAAAGUAAUUUUUAAGGUAUUAUUUAAAGACUAUUCAUUUAAACUAUUUAAAUUUACAUCACACAUCUACCAAGGUAAGGAAACUGUGGUCCAAGAGUUUAUGCAAUUGGCUACAGAUUCUGUGGGUAACAGGUGGUAGAGUAAGACCUAAACUCAACUUUUUUAAAAAAAAAAGUUCUGUGUAUUUUUCAUUGAAGUAUAGUUGAUUUGCAUUGUUGUGUUAGUUUCAGAUCUACAGCAAAGUGAUUCAGUUACACACACCACACACAUACAAUUUUUCAGAUUCUUUUCCCCUAGAGGUUAUUGCUAAAUAUUGAGUAUAGUUCCCUAUGCAAUACAGUAGGUCCUGUUGCUUAUCUAUUUUAUAUACAGUAGUGUGUAUCUGUUAAUCUCAUCCUCCUAAUUUAUCCCUACCCACUUCUCUCCUUUGGUAACCACACGUUUGUUUUCUAUGAGUGUAGUUUUAUUUUGUAAAUAAGUUUAUUUGUAACAUUUUUUUAAAAAAUUCCACAUAGAAGCAAUAUUGUAUGAUAUUUGUCUUUUCUCUGUCUGGCUUACUUAGUAUGAUAAUCUCUAGGUCCAUCUAUGUGGCUGCAAAUGGCACUAUUUCAUUCUUUUUUAUGGCUGAGUAACAUUCCAUUGCAUAUAUGUACCGUAUCUUCUUUAUCCAAUCAUCUGUUGAUGGACAUUUAGGAAUAGAUUAAGAAGAUGUGUUAUUAUAUAUAACACAAUGUUAGCCAUAAGAAAGAAUGAAAUAAUGCCAUUUGCAACAACAUGGAUGGACCUAGGAUUAUCAAACCAAGUGAAAUGAGUUAGAAAUAGAAAGAUAAAUACCAUUAUGAUGUCACUAAUAUGUGGAAUCUGAAAUAUGACACAAAUCAACAUAUCCAUGAAACAAAAACAGACUCACAGAGAACAGACUUGUGGUUGCUAAGAAGGAGGGGGGUGGGGGAGAAGGAUUGGAAGUUUUUGAUUAGCAGAGGAAAAUUAUUAUAUAUGGAAUGAAUAAACAACAUUGUAUAGUGCAGGGAACUAUAUUCAAUAUCCUGUGAUAAACCAUAAUAGAAAAAGAAUACGAAAAAGAAUGUAUAUAUACAUACAUAUGUGUGUAUAACUUUAUAGCAGAAAAUUAACACAACACUAUAAAUCAACUACACUUCAAUAAAUUUUUUUUUAAAAUUAAAAAGUUAAAAAUACCCUUUAUAUGACUCAAAGAGUAAAGUCAUAGAAUAGAAGUGUUUAAAAUAAGCAUAGUAUUUGACAUUAUUCAUAAAUUCUCUUUAGGCAGAUAAAUUUGCAAGUUCUUAUCAGAUUCAUAAACAUCAAAAUCAAAUGAGCAACACUCUUUUUAUCCAAUUCAGGCCUAGUUAGACACAUAUAUUUUCCAACUAUGUGAUAUUCAGAAUGCCACGAAAGGGUACAGGGCUCCCUAUAUCUCUGUUCUCAACUCUUGAGUUACACUCUCUGCACAUAUCUUAAGCAAGUUACUUCACUACCCUGUGAAGUUCCAUGGUAGUGAAGAGUCCCAUAAUUGUCAAAUGGAAUAGUUAUAACACCCUCACAGGAUUUCAGUGAUGAUUAAAUGCGUAAAAUUAUGUAAAGUACUUAGAACGCUUCCUGGCACAUAGUAAGUGCUAUAGAAGAUGUGUAUAGUUGAUACUAUUGUUACCAGUGUUAUUAUUAUUCAGUUCACAGAACAAUGUAUGAUUUACAAGGUGAUUUUGUACAUACUUUCUCACUUUAUACCAAACCAUCCCAUGUCCCAAGAAAAUGGCAAAAAUAAUAAAUGAUAAAGUGCCUAAAAAUCUUCAUUCGUCCACCAUUACUCAGUCCUUGGAAGUACAUACUUGGGAGCUAAUCUGCAUAUUUUACACUGCUUAAAAUAGACCUUCCACCUUCAACUAAAGGGGAAAACCUUUUACCUAGGUUCAAACUCCAUAGUUUUCAAAAAAGGCAAACUUUGGUGUUAAACAGGAGUGAAGACAAAGCACAGAUGGAAGAGGAUUCUGUUCUGUGUGUCUUAAUCAUCCUUCUUUAAGAAUGGAAAACUUGGAGUUCCUGUCAUGAUGCAGUGGUUAACGAAUCCGUCUAGGAACCAUGAGGUUGCGGGUUCCAUCCCUGCCCUUGCUCAGUGGGUUAACGAUCCGGUGUUGCCGUGAGCUGUGGUGUAGGUCACAGACACAGCUCAGAUCCCAUGUUGCUGUGGCUCUGGCGUAGGCUGGCAGCUACAGCUCCGAUUAGACCCCUAGCCUGGGAACCUCCAUAUGGCGUGGGAGUGGCCCAAGAAAUGGCAAAAAGACAAAAAAAAAAAAAAAGAAUGGAAAACUUCAGGUACUGCUACAUCAUGAGUUUAGCAGAAUUGAUUUCUGCUGUCAAACACCAAGUUCUGACCUGAGGAAUGAGAAGCCAGUAUUACGUCCCAACCUGCCUGGGAGCAUUCCUGGUGGCCUGUGAUCUGUGAUGGGUUACCGUGGUGAUAGUUCAGAUACAAGUCAUUUCCACAAAUUCCUUUAACUCCAAAAAAGUAACUGUAGAACCUUGGUCAGAAAUUCUGGUGCCAGGGUUAUAAAUAACAAUCUCAGAGCAAUAAUUGCCAUGGCAGAAACUUGGGAAAGAACUAAACACACAUUUUGAAAAGAAUUCUACAACAACUGAGAAGGUCAACUUCUGUGCUCGCUCUUUGAUUCCAAAAUGAAUUCCUGACUGUGCUUCCCAGGGAAGGUGUCUUUGUUGGAUUGGGUCAAGUAGCAAGGAAGGUCCUUCUUAGUCUUUUCAAUAUCAGAGUC
rnacentral:lncRNA from 1 species